rnacentral:rRNA from 1 species
AGUUUGAUCCUGGCUCAGGAUGAACGCUGGCGGCGUGCCUAAUACAUGCAAGUCGAGCGAACAGACGAGGAGCUUGCUCCUUUGACGUUAGCGGCGGACGGGUGAGUAACACGUGGGUAACCUACCUAUAAGACUGGGAUAACUUCGGGAAACCGGAGCUAAUACCGGAUAAUAUUUAGAACCGCAUGGUUCGAUAGUGAAAGAUGGCUUUGCUAUCACUUAUAGAUGGACCUGCGCCGUAUUAGCUAGUUGGUAAGGUAACGGCUUACCAAGGCAACGAUACGUAGCCGACCUGAGAGGGUGAUCGGCCACACUGGAACUGAGACACGGUCCAGACUCUACGGGAGGCAGCAGUAGGGAAUCUUCCGCAAUGGGCGAAAGNCUGACGGAGCAACGCCGCGUGAGUGAUGAAGGUCUUCGGAUCGUAAAACUCUGUUAUUAGGGAAGAACAAAUGUGUAAGUAACUAUGCACGUCUUGACGGUACCUAAUCAGAAAGCCACGGCUAACUACGUGCCAGCAGCCGCGGUAAUACGUAGGUGGCAAGCGUUAUCCGGAAUUAUUGGGCGUAAAGCGCGCGUAGGCGGUUUUUUAAGUCUGAUGUGAAAGCCCACGGCUCAACCGUGGAGGGUCAUUGGAAACUGGAAAACUUGAGUGCAGAAGAGGAAAGUGGAAUUCCAUGUGUAGCGGUGAAAUGCGCAGAGAUAUGGAGGAACACCAGUGGCGAAGGCGACUUUCUGGUCUGUAACUGACGCUGAUGUGCGAAAGCGUGGGGAUCAAACAGGAUUAGAUACCCUGGUAGUCCACGCCGUAAACGAUGAGUGCUAAGUGUUAGGGGGUUUCCGCCCCUUAGUGCUGCANNNAACGCAUUAAGCACUCCGCCUGGGGAGUACGACCGCAAGGUUGAAACUCAAAGGAAUUGACGGGGAUCCGCACAAGCGGUGGAGCAUGUGGUUU